UGAAGUGUUCUUGCAUAGCAAGACCACUUAAUGUUAUCUCACAUAUAUAUUAUUAUUAAGUGGUCUUGCUAUGCAAGAACACUUAAUAAUAAAU